rnacentral:rRNA from 1 species
GACGAACGCUGGCGGCGUGCUUAACACAUGCAAGUCGAACGAAGUGGCGAACGGGUGAGUAACGCGUAAUCAACCUGCCCUUCAGAGGGGGACAACAGUUGGAAACGACUGCUAAUACCGCAUAGUGAUGGAGGGGAAUGCGUGUGAUUGGCUAGGUGGAGGGGUAACGGCCAACCAAGGCGAUGAUCAGUAGACGGUCUGGGAGGAUGAACGGCCACAUUGGGACCGAGACACGGCCCAGACUGCUACGGGAGGCAGCAGUGGGGAAUCUUCCGCAAUGGACGAAAGUCGGACGGAGCAACGCAGCGUGUGUGAUGACGGCCUUCGGGUUGUAAAGCUCUGUUAAUCGGGACGCGGUACCGGAAUAGAAAGCCACGGCUAACUACGUGCCAGCAGCCGCGGUAAUAC